rnacentral:rRNA from 1 species
AUGGGCGAAAGCCUGAUGCAGCCAUGCCGCGUGAAUGAUGAAGGCCUUAGGGUUGUAAAAUUCUUUCGCCAGGGAUGAUAAUGACAGUACCUGGUAAAGAAGCCCCGGCUAACUUCGUGCCAGCAGCCGCGGUAAUACGAAGGGGGCUAGCGUUGUUCGGAAUUACUGGGCGUAAAGCGCACGUAGGCGGACUUUUAAGUCAGAUGUGAAAUCCCGGGGCUCAACCUCGGAACUGCAUUUGAAACUGGAAGUCUAGAGACCAGGAGAGGUUAGCGGAAUACCGAGUGUAGAGGUGAAAUUCGUAGAUAUUCGGUGGAACACCAGUGGCGAAGGCGGCUAACUGGACUGGUACUGACGCUGAGGUGCGAAAGUGUGGGGAGCAAACAGGAUUAGAUACCCUGGUAGUCCACACCGUAAACGAUGAGAGCUAGUUGUUGGCAGGCAUGCCUGUCGGUGACGCAGCUAACGCAUUAAGCUCUCCGCCUGGGGAGUACGGUCGCAAGAUUAAAACUCAAAG